rnacentral:misc_RNA from 1 species
AAAAUAAUCCUACCCUUUGUGAAUUUUGUUUGUUUGAAUAAUUUUUUUUUUAAAAAUUAUUGGAGUCUUUCCCUUUAGUUUGCUUUUGAGUUUGUAAAAGAAUUCGAAAACAUCUAGAGGGGAUGGUCAAUAAUUUUUUUGAAAAAAGACAUUUUUUAAAAUUAAACUUUUUGUAUUCAUUUGUCUAAAAAUUAUUUUUAUAAUAUAAAAACAACUUUUGACAAUGGAUCUCUUGGUUCUCGCAACGAUGAAGAACGCAGCAAAAUGCGAUAAGUAGUGUGAAUUGCAGAAUACGUGAAUCAUCGAAUCUUUGAACGCAUAUUGCACUUUUUUAGUUUACUAAAAAAGUAUGUCUGUUUGAGUAUCAGUAAAAUAUUCUCAUAAAAAUCAUUGUAUUUUUAUGGUUAUGAGUGUUUUACAACGAUACAAGUUGUUUCACUUUAAAUUUUUUUUUAAUAUUGAAAUUUUUCUAAUUUUAAUAAUUAAAAUUGGAUAAAAUUUUCCCGUCAAAAGGAAUAACCUAAACAAUUUUAAACGAUUAAUUUUAGCAAAAUUUUCGUAAAAAAGGAAAAUUUUUAUUAAAAUAACUUGAUCUCAAAUCAGAUAAGAGUACCCGCUGAACUUAAGCAUAUCAAUAAGCGGAGGAAAAGAAACUAACAAGGAUUCCCUUAGUAACGGCGAGUGAAGCGGGAAGAGCUCAAAUUUGAAAUCUUCAAGGUUUUACCUUGACGAAUUGUAGUUUAAAGAAGUGUUUUCUGCAGAAGUUUUGGUAAAAGUUCUUUGGAAUAGGACAUCAUAGAGGGUGAGAAUCCCGUAUUUGACCAUUAUUUUCAGCUUUGUGAUACACUUUCAAAGAGUCGGAUUGUUUGGGAAUGCAGUCCAAAAUGGGUGGUAAAUUUCAUCUAAAGCUAAAUAUUGGCGAGAGACCGAUAGCGAACAAGUACCGUGAGGGAAAGACGAAAAGAACUUUGAAAAGAGAGUUAAACAGUACGUGAAAUUGUCAAAAGGGAAGCGUUUGACACCAGUGUUGUUUUCUCGAAGAUCAAUUAAAAAUGGCUCGAUUUUGUAUUGCUGAGACCUUAAAAGCUCACUGUACAUUUUUCGUGUCUUUUUUAAUGCACUUUUCGUUUAACAAGUCAACAUCAGUUUCUUUUGUUGUAAAAGGGUCAUUGGGAGGUGGCUUUCUUUUCGGAGAAAGUGUUUAUAGCCUUUGGCCUCUGCAAUCGAAGAGACUGAGGUCUGCAGCGUAGACUCUUCGGGGUUAGAUACAUUUGUGCUAAGUUAUAGCUUUUUAUAGACAACUUGUUGACUAUAAUUAGUCUUGUAGCUUACUCGCUUAUGCUAUUUUA